rnacentral:rRNA from 1 species
GGAUGCGAUCAUACCAGCACUAAUGCACCGGAUCCCAUCAGAACUCCGCAGGUAAGCGUGCUUGGGCGAGAGUAGUACUAGGAUGGGUGACCUCUUGGGAAGUCCUCGUGUUGCAUCCC